rnacentral:miRNA from 1 species
AAUAGCAACGCCCUUUCGAUUA